CACUUUUUUUUCUGUGCCACUCAAGUAGAACGAGGAGGGUAUGGGGUUCGAAGCCCGAUGCAAAUUUUGAACUAUGCUAAUUCCGAUGCUAAUACCCGAACACACACUAACACCGGAUUCAUUUGAGCGUAACAAGCGCGAAAAAAAACCCAAAAAUGAGAACGAAACAAUUAAGCUGAAAAGCUCCCAAUAUUUACGUAACAUAUUCCCCACUCUUGCGGCCGAUAAAAAGAAAGUUUUCACAUCGAAAUAUAUAUUUUAGCUGCAUUUGCAUUUCCAUUAAUAUUUAAAUUCAUAAGUUAUAUUCCAGCGAUUGCGUAAGCUGAAACGCAGUUAAAGUCCGCAAACCGGUUUUGCAAUCCACCCAAAACAACAGUAGAAAAUAAAAACAAUUAUUAUAACAAGUUAACUAACUGACAACACUUUCGCAGUAUGAAAAGUGGGUUCCCAUGCCUUGAAAGUCGCCUUAUUUUUUUGUUUUUCCCCUAUUUUUUAUUGCAGUUCAAAGUAGAGCAACAGCAACAGCAUUAGCAACUCGCGUGCUCAGCGCUCUGUAUCUGCGUUGGGAUCUGUUUUCCGAUCUAAUACCUUUUGUUCUAGCCCCCGAUUUCCACCCUUUUCCUCCCCAUUUCCGCAUACGAAUAGUGAGCAGAGAAUUAAAUCUGAUACUUUUUUCCCUCUGACACAGUGUGGAGAUACGAUGCUCAUGUAUUAUGUGCAUAAGCAGAUCCGACAGUCGACUUGGCCAACAAGUUGGGACCCAGAUAGCGCAGGUUCCCAACUGGGGACUCGGAUUUGGAGCAGCAGUUGGGGUCAGACAGCAAAGCAAGAGGAUAAGAUUAUAAUCUGUUGAGUUAUAAUCAACCGAACACAUAAGAAAAUACAAUCUAAGCUUUACUGCAAUUAAAAAAAACGUAGUUUAAUGUUGAGCCUUAACGUUUAAAGACCAUUGUGUUUGGUACCUAUUAAUACCUAUUUAAUAUUACAAAAUACAAAAAAUGGACUGUAAAAAUAAAUUAUGUGAAAAAACUCAAAAGGGCGGAGAAGUACGAUAAGAAAUGCGUAUCUGAAGAAAAACGAUCCCGAAACUUAAACCAAAUAUAAGAGCACCAAACAAAUGGCUGAGAAUACCGUGUUAGAAAACUAUGAAAUUGUACGCUUGAGUGGGCAAGGUGAGACCUAUUCAGAAUAUGAAGUCCCAGUUCGAUUUCCGAUUAUCAAAUCGAUGGUGAAGAGUGUGUGUUGAGUGAGUGGCCAAUAAAGAAUUACGUAUACGACCUGUGGCCGUGUGAUUUUCGAGUGAGCGUGUGUGGGUAUGCCUUCGUUCAUUUGGACUCGAGUGUACAAAUCGACAUCGACAGUAAUUGACCUUGCGUCUUUUCACGCGCUACACAUUUUCCAAAAGUUUGUUUUCGUUUUUCUUGUGCUUGCGCUGGUCGUUUUUCUUUUUUGGGUUAAACAACAAACUGCAGAUUUAAAUAGAACUUUUAUUGGGGGUGGUGUUAUAGUGAGAGUUUCAUGACUAACACUUGAACUUCACACCCAAUCACUUUAUCUUUCGUCUUUUUUCCUAACAAACUGCACAAUUGUGCAUUAAUGAGGCAAAGUGAGCCGGCUGUGAAGUAAUUCCAAUUGUUAUGCAAUCAAAAGUGACACAAAAGACUCAGUUCCUCCGUCUCCUUCACUUUCAAGCACGAUUGUUGGCAAUUUUAAUAAUUGAACACUCUUCUUUUUAAUAAGCUUCAGUGUAUAUAACUUUUAACAAUCACAUCUGUCGCAUUAUGGUGUCUAUAUCUUUAUUUGUAUCCGUCUCUGACAUUUAGAUUGCUUCACGCUCGAUUAAAUAAAGCUAUUGAAUAGGAGCUAUCUGUGGUCAGUACUUUUGAAAACGCCCCUUUCGGAUAAAGGGGGCGUAACGCCAGACUGUAGCACUUGAUAAAUUAUGGGGACCAUAUAACGUGAUAUAUACUGACAAACAUAUAAUGAAAAUGCUCAAAAGUCGCAAACUGCAGUGUCUGAUAUUUAAGCUACCCAUAUGUAAACAUGCCAUUUUUUGUUGUUCUUUUCCCUUCUUGAAGUCAGCCGCCCAAUGUUUCCACGUAUCUGUUAGGUUUUGAUACCUUCGCUUCGUAUUUCGAGCGGUUGGGAAUUAUUAAGAACUUGUCCACUCCCGAAAGCCGACACUAAAUUGAUUAUGUAUUGAUGGGAUCAGCAGUAAAAAGGAUAGGGAACAUUUAAUGAUUUCUGGAUGUUUACUGGAAUGGAAACCAAAGAACUUGUGGGAAUUGC